UACGUAGGGUGCGAGCGUUAUCCGGAAUUAUUGGGCGUAAAGAGCUCGUAGGCGGUUUGUCACGUCUGCUGUGAAAGCUGAAGGCUUAACCUUUCAGUGUGCAGUGGGUACGGGCAGGCUGGAGUGCAGUAGGGGAGACUGGAAUUCCUGGUGUAGCGGUGAAAUGCGCAGAUAUCAGGAGGAACACCGAUGGCGAAGGCAGGUCUCUGGGCUGUUACUGACGCUGAGGAGCGAAAGCAUGGGGAGCGAACAGGA
rnacentral:rRNA from 1 species